rnacentral:rRNA from 1 species
CCUACGGGCGGCAGCAGUAGGGAAUCUUCCACAAUGGGCGAAAGCCUGAUGGAGCAACGCCGCGUGGGUGAAGAAGGUCUUCGGAUCGUAAAACUCUGUUGUUAGAGAAGAAAGUUCGUGAGAGUAACUGGUCACGUUUCGACGGUAUCUAACCAGAAAGCCACGGCUAACUACGUGCCAGUAGCCGCGGUAAUACGUAGGUGGCAAGCGUUAUCCGGAUUUAUUGGGCGUAAAGGGAACGCAGGCGGUCUGUUAAGUCUGAUGUGAAAGCCUUCGGCUUAACGGGAGUAGUGCAUUGGAAACUGGGAGACUUGAGUGCAGGAGAGGAGAGUGGAACUCCAUGUGUAGCGGUGAAAUGCGUAGAUAUAUGGAAGAACACCAGUGGCGAAGGCGGCUCUCUGGUCUGUAACUGACGCUGAGGUUCGAAAGCGUGGGUAGCAAACAGGAUUAGAUACCCCAGUAGUC